GACGAACGCUGGCGGCGUGCUUAACACAUGCAAGUCGAACGGAAAGGCCCUGCUUUUGUGGGGUGCUCGAGUGGCGAACGGGUGAGUAACACGUGAGUAACCUGCCCUUGACUUUGGGAUAACUUCAUGAAACUGGGGCUAAUACCGCAUAGGAGCUCGUGCUUCAAGGUGUGGGUUGGAAAGUUUCGGCGGGUGGGGAUGGACUCGCGUGUUAUCAGCUUGUUGGUGGGGUAGUGGCUUACCAAGGCUUUGACGGGUAGCCGGCCUGGGAGGGUGACCGGCCACCUUGGGCCUGAGAUACGGCCCAGACGGCUACGGGAGGCAGCAGUGGGGAAUAUUGCACAAUGGGCGGAGGCCUGAUGGAGCAACGCCGCGUGCGGGAUGACGGCCUUCGGGUUGUAAACCGCGUUCGCCUGUGACGAAGCGUGAGUGACGGUAAUGUGUAAAGAAGCACCGGCUAACUACGUG
rnacentral:rRNA from 1 species